UCCUUGGGAGAAUGGGCUUGGUGCUUUACAGUGCUAGUGACCUAUUCCCCUUGAUAGUCUCUAGGUGGAGAUGGGGCAUGAGGGUUCUCCAGGGGAAAAGCUCACCAUCACUGGGCAACAGCCUUA
ensembl:misc_RNA